UACGGAGGGGGCUAGCGUUGUUCGGAUUGACUGGGCGUAAAGCGCGCGUAGGCGGAUCGUCAAGUCGGGGGUGAAAUCCCGGGGCUCAACCCUGGAAUGGCCUUCGAGACUGGCGGUCUUGAGUUCGAGAGAGGUGGGUGGAAUUCCGAGUGUAGAGGUGAAAUUCGUAGAUAUUCGGAGGAACACCAGUGGCGAAGGCGGCCCACUGGCUCGACACUGACGCUGAGGCGCGAAAGCGUGGGGAGCAAAC
rnacentral:rRNA from 1 species